rnacentral:rRNA from 1 species
GACGAACGCUGGCGGCGUGCUUAACACAUGCAAGCCGAACGGAAAGGCCCUUCGGGGUACUCGAGUGGCGAACGGGUGAGUAACACGUGGGUGAUCUGCCCUGCACUUUGGGAUAAGCCUGGGAAACUGGGUCUAACACCGAAUAGGACCGCAUGCUUCAUGGUGUGUGGUGGAAAGCUUUUGCGGUGUGGGAUGGGCCCGCGGCCUAUCAGCUUGUUGGUGGGGUAAUGGCCUACCAAGGCGACGACGGGUAGCCGGCCUGAGAGGGUGACCGGCCACACUGGGACUGAGAUACGGCCCAGACUCCUACGGGAGGCAGCAGUGGGGAAUAUUGCACAAUGGGCGCAAGCCUGAUGCAGCGACGCCGCGUGAGGGAUGACGGCCUUCGGGUUGUAAACCUCUUUCAGCAGGGACGAAGCGCAAGUGACGGUACCUGCAGAAGAAGGACCGGCCAACUACGUGCCAGCAGCCGCCGUAA